AACCUUCUCCAUCAUUCAUUACUCAUCAAACCAACCUCCAUUCAUCUAUCCCUUUAUCAAUCCUAGCAUGCAAAACCCUUAAGUACUGAAUCAUCUGGUGCUGCAGCUCCCAACUCUCUAGCCGCAACACCGUCGAGCAGCCCUAUUCGGCCAACAGCUCACUUUGCAUUUGCAUGCACUUGGCUCACCUAGCUAGCAGCCCAUCCCGCACGCACCUGCCUCCAUCGCUCACUGCUACACGCACCUGCCUCCAUCGCUCGCUGCUACUACCUUGCACGUCCUGCUCUGCCUGCAUCGUGUCACUCCCAGCUCCAGCUCGCCUGCGCCAACACUGCUGCUCGCUCAAUGUUGCUGUCUGUUGCCCGCGCAGUUGCUCACGCCAGGCCUUGUUGCUCCCUAGCACAUCUACCCACACACCCAGCAGCUUCCCAGUAUCCGUGUGGCACACCAGCCUUGCUACUCGCACCAACACCCCACACUUAGCCGAUAACCCUCUAACCAUCACUAAAUUGACCUCUUUUGAUUUAUAUUUAUUUUUCUUUGAGUUCUUAAUUUUUAUAAAAAAGUGGUAAGAGAAAUUUUCUUCCUAAAUUUUAAUUUUAUUUAGUUAUUUAUUUUUUUCAAUUUAUUGAGUUAUUAAUAUUUUAUACUAAUUAAAUUUUUGAGAAAAUUAUGGAAAAUGGAUCUACCUCUUAAAAUCAAAAUUACAGUUUGGAGAUUCUUAUGCAACUAUCUGUCUAGUUUUAGUAAUCUUCACUUUCACAGAAUGAUGGCUUCCUCCAUGUGUCCAAGGUGUCAAACAGGAGCAGAAAUGAGGGAACAUAUAUUUCGGGAAUGUCUUCCUGCAAAAGAUACAUGGAAGCAGUUACAUAUGGUAUGGCCUCUAGAGGACAACUCAGACCUUACAGUUUGGUUGAAAAAUACCUUUGAGUCCAGAUCCAUGGCUUUGUAUAGAAUGGCAGUAUGUGCUUUAUGGGUGAUAUGGAUGUCUCAGAACAAAUUUAUUCAUGAGGGGGAUCAGGUUUUCAAAUUGCUAGUUUUGUGUAAAAUUAUUUAAAUGAACUUGAUGGUCUAAAAAGAUCUAUACCUGAAAAGGAUUUGUGUGGACAGAUGGACUGCUCCCAUGGGACUGAGAUUGAAAGUGAACUUUGACGCAGCUUUCAACAACCAUAACAAAGAGUCGUGCUCAGGGUUAGUGAUUCGUAACAGUAAAGCAGAGGUCAUUUGUUCUAAAACAAAAAUGAACUUGAACAUACUGUUCAUUUUUGCUGCAGAAGAAAUGUCGUGUCUUCAGGCACUGAAGCUGGGGUUACAACUUAGGUUGAGGGAGGUGGAGGUUGAAGGUGACUCUCGGUCGGUCAUCUAAAAGCUGUAAGAGGAAAAGGACAGAUCUGAGAUUUCUGUGUGUAUCAAAGAUGCUCAGAACGUUAGUUGUCAAUUUAAUCUUUGUGUUUUUCUUUUUACAAAUAGGGAGUCUAACAAAGUCACCCAUUAUUUAGCGCAAGCAAGACUCAAGAAAAGAGAAACCACUUAUCUGUCAAAUCUGGUAUUUUCUGCUACGGCAGAGGCAGAGGCAGUGGCUAAAGAUAGGACGUGGACGGAGGCAAUGAGUGAGGAUAGGGGAAGAAGAUAUGAAAGGGCUGAAGAAAGUGUUUUGGAAUUUUGAUUUUGCUAAGAGUUUCAAUUAGGUUUUUUCAAUGUGUAUAAGGGUAAUGAAAAUGUUUGAUGGGAUAGAUAUGACAGGUAAUUAAAGCACCAGUUGGUUUUGCUUCCCCAUGCAGUUUCUUGCUAUUUUCCAAAAGGGGUUUCAGUUAUUGGAGUACAGUUGGAGAACGAUGUCUCUAGAGCUCCCCUUGUUGCUAUUUGCUGGAUCUUGUUUUUGGGCCUUUUCUUCGAUUUUGCUUUGGAUUACUUUUGUUUUAGGCUUUUGUUUGUUUGGUUUUUUAGUCUGUUUGUUCAGACUGGUCUUUUAAGACUCAUAACCUUAUGGCUUUGAUUUUAUGUUGUCCUUUUUGAAUAAAAUCCAGUGAUUAUUUCUUCAAUUUUUUUUUGAGAAAAUAUUUGUUUCCAUCUUAUGUUCAGGUUAAUCAUGCCUCGCAAGAAAACUUGUGCUUCUGUGGAAAUUGAUGAAUCACAAAACAAAUUCUACUGUGAAGAAGCCAAAGCGAGAUAUAAAAGCGUUUUCAAGAAUCAACAGAUGCACCAAGAAAAAGGCUUCACACUGAAAGAAAGCAACUAUAUUGAUUUCAUGGCGCGCAUUCGACAAAUUUUUGAAUCUCUGUAACACCCCUUACCAGUAUUUGAUGCCAGAAUAGGAAACGAGGCAUUACCGGACGUAAACACAAGCAAACAUACAUUCCGAGUUGUAAAUUUUGCACCAAAUUAAAAAAAAUUUAACAAUCAAUCACAUCAUCCUUAAAACGAGCCACAAGGCCCA
rnacentral:lncRNA from 1 species